CUUUCUCCUCGACAGUGCUACAGGGCCAUCAAUACAACAUUAUAAGAACGAAGCUGCGGGCCGGAUCACAUCUGACGGCGGGCCAGGCAAAGGCCUUCCUUGGGAAAUGCUUCGUGCUUUUGUUUUGAAGUCCUAAAACCGGAAGUGGUCCCCUCUCGGAACCAUUUUGCGUCUCGUCGUCGCUUUGUGUUCCUGAGAAAGCGUGUGAGCUCCAGCUGAUCCAUGGAGCGCCCCCUGCUGUCCGUGGUGCUCCAGCCUCAGCUCCAGGUCCACAGAGCAGACGUCCAGCAGCUGGUGGUUAAAGAAGAGGUUUCCCCUGAGCAGCAGGAGUGGAGCUCC